rnacentral:rRNA from 1 species
AUUGAACGCUGGCGGCAUGCCUUACACAUGCAAGUCGAACGGUAACGGGUCCUUCGGGAUGCCGACGAGUGGCGAACGGGUGAGUAAUAUAUCGGAACGUGCCCAGUAGUGGGGGAUAACUGCUCGAAAGAGCAGCUAAUACCGCAUACGACCUGAGGGUGAAAGGGGGGGAUCGCAAGACCUCUCGCUAUUGGAGCGGCCGAUAUCAGAUUAGCUAGUUGGUGGGGUAAAGGCCUACCAAGGCAACGAUCUGUAGUUGGUCUGAGAGGACGACCAGCCACACUGGGACUGGGACACGGCCCAGACUCCUACGGGAGGCAGCAGUGGGGAAUUUUGGACAAUGGGCGCAAGCCUGAUCCAGCAAUGCCGCGUGCAGGAAGAAGGCCUUCGGGUUGUAAACUGCUUUUGUCAGGGAAGAAAUCUUCUGGGCUAAUACCCCGGGAGGAUGACGGUACCUGAAGAAUAAGCACCGGCUAACUACGUGCCAGCAGCCGCAGUAAAAC